GUCCAGGAGAAGGGGAGCUGCCCGGCUUGGGUCCUGGGGGUGGUCCAUACCCCUUUCCUUCCAGGUCCCCGUGCCCUCCUGCCCCCCACCGCCCACCGAAUGCCUCCCUCGGGGAGCCGGGAUGGGAGGGCCACGUGGGGCCGGAGGUUGGCUUCGCCCUGCCCGCCCCAUUCCCCAGCUGCUGCUCAUAAAGCCUCCCUUGAUUGCCCAGCUGAUCCUGGGCAAACUUUCAUUUCCUGGGGUGAUGGUGGUGGAGGAAAGGACACGUGAAGAAAAGCCAGUGGUGGGAGCCUGUCUCUGGGCUGGCCAGGGAGGGUACUGAACAGCAGUUCGACAUCACCAGCGACCAGAACCAAUUCUCCCUCGUCUUCAACGCAGGCUUUAACAGGCCCCAGUUUGACCACAACUUCUUCCCCAUUUUCCGCCACCCCAACUUCCACCGCCAUUUCCACGCUGACCGGAACGGGUUCUGGAUCUACCAACGGUUCUCCACCGGCUUUGACCAGUACCAAGUUCCCCACCAUUACCACUUCGGCCCCAACGAGUUCGGGAUCUGCCCCUGCUACGACUCCGUCUUCUGUUGUGACAUCAUCCACCACACUGUCCUCUCCAGCUUCUGCUCACACAGAAUCAGCUGGCACUUUGACAUCAGCAACAACCAGAACCAAUUCUUCUUCACCUUUGAUGUCAGAAUUAACCAGCACUAAAUCGACUACAGAUUCUAUCACAGAACUUACCACCCAAAAUUUUACCAUUACUUCUACCUUUGCCUGGACAAGUUAUGGACCUAUCGCCAGUUCUCCACCAGCUCCUGCCAGUACCAGUCCUCCUACCAGUAUCCCCUUAGCCGGAACCAGUAGAUUAUCAGACCCUACUACCAACUCUCCAUCAGCCAUCGCAGCAUCAACCACACCGUCCUCCCCGACUUCUUAUCAAACGGAAUCAACCCGUACCGAUUCUCUCUCGCCCGUAACAACAGAAAUAACCACCCUCUUAACCACCUCAAGUUCUAUCCCGUUUCUUUCCUCACAGAGUUCUACCUCUACUUCGGCCGUGAACCUGAUGAGUUCUGGAUCUAGCACCAGUUCUUCACUGGCUCCGACCAGUGUUGAAUCUUCCACUGGGUCCACCUCGGCCAUCACGAAUGUUAUAUCAGCCCCCUCUACGCCCUCACCUUCAGCUCUUAUAACAUCAACCACAUCAUCCUCUCCAAUUUCCAGUCACACAGAAUCAGGCAGCCCUUUGACAUCGACAACGAACAGUGAUCAUUCUCCCUCACCUCUGACAACAGAAGCAACUAGUCGCAUAACCGCUACUCGUUCUACUCCAUUUCCUACCACCCCAAGUUCUGCCUCUACUUUUACCUUGACCUGGAUGGAUUCUGAACCCACCACCAAUUCUCCACCAGCUCCCACCAGUACUGAAUCUCCCACCCUCUCAGCCCGAACAAAUACGAUAUCAGCCCCUACUACGCCCUCUCUUUCAUUUGCUGCCACAUCAAUCACACUGCCCUCUCCAACCUCGGCUGACGCAGAAUCGGCCAGAGGUUCAACGUCUUCCAUGACCAGGACCGAUUCUCCCUCACUUUCAACACCUGCAUUAUCCAGUCCCGAAUCGACUACGGGUUCGACUUCAGUUCUUACCACCCCAAGUUCUAACCCUGCUUCGACCACCACCUGGACUAGUUCUGAGCUGACCACCGGUUCCCCAUCAGCUGAGACCAGUCCCGAAUCUUCCACCCCUACAACUUCAGCCCGAAUAAAUACCACAUCAGCCCCUAUUUCGAUCUCAUCUUCUGCCAUGACAUCAUCAAUGGCACUGACCUCUCCAACUUCUGGCCACACAGAAUUAGACAGCACUCCGACGUCAACAGUGACCAGAACCGAUUCUCCUUCACCUCUGACGACAGAAUUAACCAGUCCCGUAACUCUAACAGGUUCUACCCACUUUCCUAUCGCCUCGAGUUCUACCAUUCCUUCUUCCCUCUCCUGGACUAGUUCCGGGACUACCACCAGUUCUUCACCAGGUUCAGACAGUACAGAACUUCCCACCAGAACCACCUCAACCAGAACAGCCCCUACAACCUUCAUUUCAGCUAUCACUCCAACUUCUAAUGAUACAGAAUCAGCAAGUAGUUUGCCAUCAAUAUCGACCACUACCGAUUCUCUCUCACCUUCAACUCUUGCAUUAACCAGCCCUGAAUCGAUAACAGGUUCGACCCCAAGUCCUCCUACCCCGAGUUCUCUCACUACUUCGGCCAUGAUCAGGACGAGUUCCGGACCCAGUGCCAGUUCUCCACCCGCUCCGACCGGUGUCACCUCAGUCAUAACAAAUUCAGUAUCAGGCCCUACUACCAUCUUCAUUUCAGCCACCCCCACGUCAACCACGCAGUCCUCUCCAACUUCUAGUGAUGUAGAUUCGGCCAGGACUUGGACAUCAACAACGACCAGUACUGUUUCUCCCUCACCCUCGAUAACAGAAUUCACGGGAUCCAAGACAACUGCAGGUUUAACCGCAAGUCUUUCCACCCCAAGUUCUCCCACUACUUCCACCCGGACCUGGAUGAGUUCUGGACCUAGCACCAGUUUUCCACCAGCUCCCACCAGUAUCGAAUCUCCCACCAGGAUGAGUUCAGCGUCAACCCCAGCUCCGUCCUCUCCUUCGGCUGUUGCCUCAGCAACCACACUGUCCUCUCCAACUUCCAGUGGUGCAGAAUCUGCCAGCAGUGUAACACCACCUACGACCAGUAUGGAUUCUUCGUCCCCUUCAACCCUUUCGCUAUCCAAUUCCGAAUCAACUACAGGUUUGACCCCAAUUCCUACAACGCCAAGCUAUUCCUCUAUUUCAUCCACAACCCGGAUGACUUCCGGGCCUACCCCAAGUUCUCCACCAGCUCUAACCAGUACCGAAUCUCUCACCAGUCUCACCUCGGCCAGAGCAAGUACAGUAUCAGCCCCUACCAAACCCUCACCUUCAGCUGUUUCAGCAUCAACCACACUGUCCUCCCCAACUUUUACUAAAACAGAACUCACCAGCACUGACUCACCAGCACUGACAUCCACAAUGACCAGCAGUGAUUCUUCAACACCUCCAGGAACCGGUCCUGAAUCUACUCCAGGUUCUACCCCAAUUUCUACCAUACCAGGUUCUACCGCUUCUCCAACACUAACCUGGACUAGUUCUGGAUCUCCCGUCAGUUCUUCACCCCCUUUAACCGGUACCAAAUCUCCCGCCAGUACUGUCUCGGCCCAACCGAGUACCCUGUCAGCCCCUACUACGACCUCGCCUUCAGCUAUUACAGCAUCAACCACCCUGUCCUCAUCGAUUUCUAAAUAUACAGAAUGGACCAGCACUUUCAAAUCGACAGUGAGCAGUACUGAUUCUCCCUCACCUUCUACAACAGAAUUAACUGGUUCGGUACCCUCUACAGGUUUUAUCUCAUUUUCCGCCACCCCAAACUCUACCACCGCUUCAACCGUGACCUGGAUGACUUCUGAACCUACCACUGGUUCUCCUCUAGUCUCAACCAGUACUGAAUUCCCCACCAGUACCACCUCAGCCAGAGCAAGUACCAUAUCUGGCCCUACCAUGACCUCAGUGACUGCCAUAUCAUCCUCAACCACACUGUCCACUCCAACCUCUAGUCACGCAGAACUGGGCAGCACUUUGAUAUCAACAACAACCAGUACCGCUUCUCUGUCACUUAUAACACUUGAACCUACUACUGGUUUUACUCCAUCUACUACCUCGAGUUCUACCCCUGCUUCCACCCUGUUCUGGAUAGGGUCCGGACCUACCACCAGUUCUCCCCCAGCUUCAGCCGGUCCCGAAUCUCCCACCAGUACCUCCUCAGCCAGAACGAGUACAGGAUGGGCUCCUACCGCUUCUUUCAUUUCGACUGUCACAGCAUCAACCACAAUGGCCCCGCCAGCGUCUAGCCAUACAGAAUCUGCCGGCACUCGGAUGUCAACAGUGACCAGCGCUGGCUCUCCAUCACCUUGGUCACCUGAAUUAACCAGCCCUGAAUCAACCAAAGAUUCUACUCCGGUUCCUAUCACAGCAAGUUCUAUGACUGCUUCCACCCUGAUCUGGAUGAGUUCAGGACCCACCGGAACUUCUCCACCAGCACUGACCAGUGGCGAAUCUCCUACGAGUAUCACCUCGGCCACGGCGAUUACACUCUCAUCUCCUAGUACGACCUCACCUUCAGCUAUUACAGCACCGACAGCAUGGUCCUCUCCAACUUUUACUCACACAAAAUCGACCAGCACUUGGACAUCAACAGUGACCGGCACUAAUUCUCCAUCACCUUCAACACCGGGAUUAAGCAGCCCUGGAAAAUCUACAGGUUCCACCUCCGUUCCUACCACCCCAGUUUCUAGCAGGACUUCGACCCCGAACUGGGUGAGUUCUGGAUCUAUCACCAGUUCUCCACCAGCUGCGACCGGUACCGAAUCUCCUACCGAUGCCACCUCAGCCAUAACAGGGACUAUUUCAGCUCCUAAUCCAUCUUCAGCAGUUACAGCACCCGGCACACCGUCAACUUUUAGUCAUACAGAAUCGGGCAGUACUCUGAUAUCAACGAAGACCAGAACCGAUUCUCCCUCCCCCUCAAUAACAGAAUUAACCAGUCUCACUGUUGCUACAGGUUCCAUCCGUAUUCCUACCGUCCUGAGUUCUACCUCUAUUUCCUCAUCACACCCAAGCUAUACCGAAUUCCCCACCAGUCCCAUCUCAGCCCAAACAAUUACAGUAUCAGCUCCUACUGAGCCUCCAUCUUCUACUGUGACAUCAUCAACCACACUGUCGCCUCCAACUUCUAGUCACAUGGAAUCGGCUAGCAGUUCAUCAGCAAUGUCCAGUACUGAUUCUCCCUCACCUUCAGCAACUUUAUUGACCGUCCCUGAAUCGACUACAGUUUCUUCCCCGAUUCCUUCCACCCCAAGUCCUACCACAACUUCUGCCAUGACCUGGGUGAGUUCUGGACCUACCUCUGGUUCUUCACCAGAAUUUCCCACUAGUACCACCUCACCCCAAACAAGUGUGGUAUCUGCUCCUAGGACACCCUCACCUUCUGCUGUGACAUCAUCAACCACGCCGCCCUCUCCAACUUCGAGCGCCACAGAAUCGGUCCCCACUUUGACAUCCACAGGGACCAGCACUGAUUCUUUCUCACCUUCGACACCUUCAUCAUUCACCCCGCAAUCUACUACAGGUUCAACCCCAGUUCCUUCCACUCCAAGUUCUGUCACUAUUUCUACCCUUGUCUGGACAAGUUCUGGAUCUACCACUGGCUCUCCAUCAGCUCCAAUCAAUACCGGAUUCCCCUCCAAUACCACCUCAACUCAAACAAGUUUGGAAUCAUCCUCAGCUAUAACUCUAUCUUCUGCUGUGACAUCAUCAACUAUACUGUCUUCUCCAAGUUCUAGUGGCACAGAAUCGGCCAGCACUUUGACAUCCACAAUGAUCAGCACUGAAUCUCUCUCACCUUCAACCCCUGCAUCAUUCACCCCAGAAUCGACUACAGGUUCGACCCCGAUUUCUUCCACCCCAGCUUCUACCACUGUUCCCACCCUGACCCGGACAGGUUCUGGGCCUUCCACUGGUUCUCCACCAGCUUCAACAAGUUCCGAGUCUCUCACCAGUACCUCCUCAGCCAGAACAAGUAUGAUAUCAGCCCCUACUUCAUCCUCUAUUUCGGCAGCCCCUGGACCAACCACAUUACCCUCUCCUACAUCUAGUCUUACAGAAUCUGCCGGCACUCGGAUGUCAACAGUGACCAGGGCUGGCUCUCCAUCACCUUGGUCACCUGAAUUAACCAGCCCUGAAUCGACUAAAGAUUCUUCUCCGGUUCCUAUCACUGCAAGUUCUAUGACUGCUUCCACCCUGAUCUGGAUGGGUUCUGGACCCACCAGCACUUCUCCAUCAGCUCUGACCAGUAGCGAAUCUCCUAUUGGUAUAACCUCGACCACGGCAAUUACACUUUCAGCUCCCAGUACGACCUCACCUUCAGUCAUUACAGCACCGACCACAAUGUCCUCUCCAACUUCUACUCACGCAGAAUCGGCCAGCACUUGGACAUCAACAAUGACCGGCACUAAUUCUCCAUCACCUUCAACACCGGGAUUAAGUAGCCCUGCAAAAUCUACAGGUUCCACCUCCUUUCCUACCACCCCAGGUUCUAGCAGGACUUCGACCCCAAACUGGGUGAGUUCUGGAUCUAUCACCAGUUCUCCACCAGCUGCGACCGGUACCGAAUCUCCUACCGAUGCCACCUCAGCCAUAACAGGUACUAUUUCAGCUCCUAGUCCAUCUUCAGCAGUAACAGCACCCAGCACACCGUCAACUUCUAGUCAUAAAGAAUCGGGCAGUACUCUGAUAUCAACAAUGACCAGAACCGAUUCUCCCUCCCCCUCAAUAACAGAAUUAACCAGUCCCACUGUUGCUACAGGUUCCAUCCGUAUUCCUACCGUCCUGAGUUCUACCUCUAUUUCCUCAUCACGCCCAAGCUAUACCGAAUUCCCCACCAGUCCCAUCUCAGCCCAAACAAUUACAGUAUCAGCUCCUACUGAGCCUCCAUCUUCUACUGUGACAUCAUCAACCACACUGUCGCCUCCAACCUCUAGUCACAUGGAAUCGGCUAGCAGUUCAUCAGCAAUGUCCAGUACUGAUUCUCCCUCACCUUCAGCAACUUUAUUGACCGUCCCUGAAUCGACUACAGUUUCUUCCCCGAUUCCUUCCACCCCAAGUCCUACCACAACUUCUGCCAUGACCUGGGUGAGUUCUGGACCUACCUCUGGUUCUUCACCAGAAUUUCCCACUAGUACCACCUCACCCCAAACAAAUGUGGUAUCCGCUCCUAGGACACCCUCACCUUCUGCUGUGACAUCAUCAACCACGCCGCCCUCUCCAACUUCGAGCGCCACAGAAUCGGUCCCCACUUUGACAUCCACAGGGACCAGCACUGAUUCUUUCUCACCUUCGACACCUUCAUCAUUCACCCCGCAAUCUACUACAGGUUCAACCCCAGUUCCUUCCACUCCAAGUUCUGUCACUAUUUCUACCCUUGUCUGGACAAGUUCUGGAUCUACCACUGGCUCUCCAUCAGCUCCAAUCAAUACCGGAUUCCCCUCCAAUACCACCUCAACUCAAACAAGUUUGGAAUCAUCCUCAGCUAUAACUCUAUCUUCUGCUGUGACAUCAUCAACUAUACUGUCUUCUCCAAGUUCUAGUGGCACAGAAUCGGCCAGCACUUUGACAUCCACAAUGUCCAGCACUGAAUCUCUCUCACCUUUAACCCCUGCAUCAUUCACCCCAGAAUCGACUACAGGUUCGACCCCGAUUUCUUCCACCCCAGCUUCUACCACUGUUUCCGCCCUGACCCGGACCAGUUCUGGGCCUUCCACUGUUUCUCCACCAGCUUCAACAAGUUCCGAGUCUCUCACCAGUACCUCCUCAGCCAGAACAAGUAUGAUAUCAGCCCCUACUUCAUCCUCUAUUUCGGCAGCCCCUGGACCAACCACAUUGCCCUCUCCUACAUCUAGUCUUACAGAAUCUGCUGGCACUCGGACGUCAACAGUGACCAGGGCUGGCUCUCCAUCACCUUGGUCACCUGAAUUAACCAGCCCUGAAUCGACUAAAGAUUCUUCUCCGGUUCCUAUCACUGCAAGUUCUAUGACUGCUUCCACCCUGAUCUUGAUGAGUUCUGGACCCACCAGCACUUCUCCAUCAGCUCUGACCAGUAGUGAAUCUCCCAUCAGUAUCACCCCGGCCACGACAAUUACUCUCUCAGCUCCUAGUACAACCUCACCUUCAGCUAUUACAGCACCAACUGCAUUGUCCUCUCCAACUUUUACUCACGCAGAAUCGACCAGCACUUGGACAUCAACAGUGACCGGCACUAAUUCUCCAUCACCUUCAACACCGGGAUUAAGUAGCCCUGCAAAAUCUACAGGUUCCACCUCCGUACCUAUCACCCCAGUUUCUAGCAGGACUUCGACCCCGAACUGGGUGAGUUCUGGAUCUAUCACCAGUUCUCCACCAGCUGCGACCGGUACCGAAUCUCCUACCGAUGCCACCUCAGCCAUAACAGGUACUAUUUCAGCUCCUAAUCCAUCUUCAGCAGUUACAGCACCUGGCACACCGUCAACUUCUACUCAUACAGAAUCGGGCAGUACUCUGAUAUCAACGAUGACCAGAACCGAUUCUCCCUCCCCCUCAAUAACAGAAUUAACCAGUCCCACUGUUGCUACAGGUUCCAUCCGUAUUCCUACCGUCCUGAGUUCUACCUCUAUUUCCUCAUCACGCCCAAGCUAUACCGAAUUCCCCACCAGUCCCAUCUCAGCCCAAACAAUUACAGUAUCAGCUCCUACUGAGCCUCCAUCUUCUACUGUGACAUCAUCAACCACACUGUCGCUUCCAACUUCUAGUCAGAUGGAAUCGGCUAGCAGUUCAACAGCAACGUCCAGUACUGAUUCUCCCUCACCUUCAGCAACUUUAUUGACCGUCCCUGAAUCGACUACAGUUUCUUCCCCGAUUCCUUCCACUCCAAGUCCUACCACAACUUCUGCCAUGACCUGGGUGAGUUCUGGACCUACUGCCGAUUCUUCACCAGCCCCAACUGGUACAGAAUUUCCCACUAGUACCACCUCACCCCAAACAAGUGUGGUAUCUGCUCCGAGGACACCCUCACCUUCUGCUGUGACAUCAUCAACCACCCUGCCCUCUCCAACCUCUAGCACCACGGAAUUGGCCAGCACUCUGACAUCCACAAGGACCGGCACUGAUUCUUUCUCACCUUCCACACCUACCUCAUUUACCCCGCGAUCAACUACAGGUUCAACCCCAGUUCCUUCCACUCCAAGUUCUGUCACUAUUUCUACCCUUGUCUGGACAAGUUCUGGAUCUACCACUGGCUCUCCAUCAGCUCCAAUCAAUACCGGAUUCCCCUCCAAUACCACCUCAACUCAAACAAGUUUGGAAUCAUCCUCAGCUAUAACUCUAUCUUCUGCUGUGACAUCAUCAACUAUACUGUCUUCUCCAAGUUCUAGUGACACAGGAUCGGCCAGCACUUUGACAUCCACAAUGACCAGCACUGAAUCUCUCUCACCUUCAACCCCUGCAUCAUUCACCCCAGAAUCGACUACAGGUUCAACCCCGAUUUCUUCCACCCCAGCUUCUACCACUGUUUCCGCCCUGACCCGGACCAGUUCUGGGCCUUCCACUGGUUCUCCACCAGCUUUAACCAGUUCCGAGUCUCUCACCAGUACCUCCUCAGCCAGAACAAGUAUGAUAUCAGCCCCUACUUCAUCUUCUAUUUCGGCUGCCCCUGGACCAACCACAGUGCCCUCUCCUACGUCUAGUCUUACGGAAUCUGCCGGCACUCGGAUGUCAACAGUGACCAGGGCUGGCUCUCCAUCACCUUCGUCACCUGAAUUAACCAGCCCUGAAUCGACCAAAGAUUCUUCUCCGGUUCCUAACACAGCAAGUUCUAUGACUGCUUCCACCCUGAUCUGGAUGAGUUCUGGACCCACCAGCACUUCUCCAUCAGCUCUGACCAGUAGUGAAUCUCCCAUCAGCAUCACCCCGGCCACGACAAUUACUCUCUCAGCUCCUAGUACGACCUCACCUUCAGUUAUUACAGCAAAAACCACAUUGUCCUCUUCAACCUCUACUCACGCAGAAUCGGCCAGCACUUGGACAUCAACAGUGACCGGCACUAAUUCUCCAUCACCUUCAACCCGGGGAUUAACCAGCCCUGCAAAAUCUACAGGUUCCACUUCCGUUCCUACCACCCCAGGUUCUAGCAGGACUUCGACCCCGAACUGGGUGAGUUUGGGAUCUAUCACUAGUUCUCCACCAGCAGCGACCGGUACUGAAUCUUCUACCGAUGCCACCUCAGCCAUAACAGGGACUAUUUCAGCUAUUAAUCCAUCUUCAGCUGUUACAGCACCUGGCACACCGUCCUCUCCAACUUCUAGUCAUACAGAAUCGGGUAGUAUUCUGACAUCAACGAUGACCAGAACCGAUUCUUCCUCCCCCUCAAUAACAGAAUUAACCAGUCCCACUGUUGCUACAGUUUCUGAAACUAUUCCUACCAUCCUGAGUUCUACCUCUAUUUCCUCAUCACGCCCAAGCUAUACCGAAUUCCCCACCAGUCCCAUCUUAGCCCAAACAAUUACAGUAUCAGUUCCUACUGAGCCUCUGUCUUCUGCUGUGACAUCAUCAACCACACUGUCGCCUCCAACUUCUAGUCACAUGGAAUCGGCUAGCAGUUCAACAGCAACGUCCAGUACUGAUUCUCCCUCACCUUCAGCAACUUUAUUGACCGUCCCUGAAUCGACUACAGUUUCUUCCCCGAUUCCUUCCACUCCAAGUCUUACCACAACUUCUGCCAUGACCUGGGUGAGUUCUGGACCUACCUCUGGUUCUUCACCAGAAUUUCCCACUAGUACCACCUCACCCCAAACAAGUGUGGUAUCCACUCCUAGGACACCCUCACCUUCUGCUGUGACAUCAUCAACCACGCCACCCUCUCCAAUUUCUAGCGCCACGGAAUCGGCCAGCACUUUGACAUCCACAAGGACCGGCACUGAUUCUUUCUCACCUUCGACACCUACAUCAUUCAUCCCGCGAUCAACUACAGGUUCAAUCCCCGUUCCUACCACUCCAAAUUCUGUCACUAUUUCCACCCUUGUCUGGACAAGUUCUGGAUCUACCACUGGCUCUCCAUCAGCUCCAACCAGUACCGGAUUCCCCUCCAAUACCACCUCAACUCAAACAAGUUUGGAAUCAUCCUCAGCUAUAACUCUAUCUUCUGCUGUGACAUCAUCAACUACAAUGUCUUCUCCAAGUUCUAGUGACACAGGAUCGGCCAACACUUUGACAUCCACAAUGUCCAGCACUGAAUCUCUCUCACCUUUAACCCCUGCAUCAUUCACCCCAGAAUCGACUACAGGUUCGACCCCGAUUUCUUCCACCCCAGCUUCUACCACUGUUUCCGCCCUGACCCGGACCAGUUCUGGGCCUUCCACUGGUUCUCCAUCAGCUUCAACCAGUUCCGAGUCUCUCACCAGUACCUCCUCAGCCAGAACAAGUAUGAUAUCAGCCCCUACUUCAUCCUCUAUUUCAGCUGCCCCUGUAUCAACCGCAGUGCCCUCUCCUACGUCUAGUCCUACGGAAUCUGCCGGCACUCAGACGUCAACAGUGACCAGCGCUGGCUCUCCAUCACCUUGGUCACCUGAAUUAACCAGCCCUGAAUCGACCAAAGAUUCUACUCCAGUUCCUAUCACUGCAAGGUCUAUGACUGCUUCCACCCUGAUCUGGAUGAGUUCUGGACCCACCAGCACUUCUCCAUCAGCUCUGACCAGUAGCGAAUCUCCUAUCAGUAUGACCUCGACCACGGCGAUUACGCUUUCAGCUCCUAGUACGACCUCACCUUCAGUCGUUACAGCACCGACCACAGUGUCCUCUCCAACUUCUACUCACGCAGAAUCAGCCAGUACUUGGACAUCAACGAUGACCAGAACUGACUCUCCCUCACCUUCAAUAACAGAAUUAACCAGUCCCGCUGUUGCUACAGGUUCUAUCCCUAUUCCUACCAUCCUGAGUUCUACCUCUAUUUCCUCAUCACCUCCAAACUAUACCGAUUUCCCCACCAGUCCCAUCUCAGCCCAAACAAUUACAGUAUCAGCUCCUACUGAGCCUUCGGCUUCUGCUGUGACAUCAUCGACCAUGCCGUCCUCUCCAACUUCUAGCAACACAGGAUCGGCCAGUACUUUUGGCUUCACAGUGACCAGCACUGAUUCUUUCUCACCUUCGACACCUACAUCAUUCACCCCGCAAUCUACUACCGGUUCAACCCCAAUUUCUAUCAAACCAAGUUCUGUCACUAUUUCCACCCUUGCCAGGACAAGUUCUGGGCCUACCGACAGUUCUCUACCAGCUUCAACCAGUACCAUCUCAGCCCAAACAAGUUUGGAAUCAUCCCCGGCACUAACUCUGUCUUCUGCUGUGACAUCAUCAACCACACUGUCCUCUCCAACUUCUAGUCACACAGAAUCGGGCAGCACUUUGACAUCCACAAUGACCAGUCCUGAUUCUCUCUCACCUUCAACACCUGCAUCAUUCACCUUCGAAUCAACGGUAGGUUUGACCCCAAUUCCUAUCACCCCAGGUUCUCCCACCAUUUCCACCCUAACCUGGACCAGUUCUGAACUUGCUACUGGUUCUUCACCAACUUCAACCAGUACCAAAUUCCCCACCAGUACCACCUCAGCUCGAACAAGCUUGGUAUCAGCUCUAUCUUCAGCUGUGACACCAUCAACCACACUGUCCUCUCCAACUUCUAGUCACACAGAAUCAGCCAACGCUUUUACCUCCACAACGACCGGCACUGAUUCAUUCUCACCUUCACCAGCCACAUCAUUCACCUCUGAAUCGACUUCAAUUUCAACCCCAAUUCCUACCGCACCAAGUUCUGUCACUACUCCCAACCUUGCCUGGACAAUUUCUGGGCCUACCACCGGUUCUCCUCCAUCUUCGGCCAGUACCUGGUCUCCAAUCACUUUCACUUCAGCCCAAACAAGCACAGUAACAGCCUCUACUACGCCCUCUCCCUCAGCUGUGACAUCAUCAACCACGCUGACCUCUCCAACUUCUAAUUACACAAAAUCAGGGAGCACUUUGUCAUCAGCAACGACCUUGACCGAUUCUCCUUCCCCUUCAACAGAAUUAAGCAGCCCUGUUGUGACUCCAGGUUCUACGCCCAUUCCCACCUUACAAAGUUCUACCCCUACUUCCUCACCACUUCCAACCCACACUGAAUUCCCUAGCAACACCACCUCAGCCCAAACUAUUACAGCAUCAGCUCCAACGAUGAUUUCAUCCCCUGCUGUAACAUCAACAGCCACGCUGUUCUCUCCAACUUCUGGUGACAGAGAAUCGGCCAGCACCUUGACGUCAACAGUGACCAGGACUGAUUCUCUCUCGCCUUCAACACCUGUAUCAUUCACCACCGAAUUGACUACGCAUUUCACCCCAAAUUCUAUCCCUUCAAGUUCUACCAGUAUUUCCACGACGACCUGGAUGAGUUCUGGAUCUACCAUCAGUUCUCCACCAGCUCAUACCAGUACUGAAUUUCCCACCAGUACCACCUCAGCCAGAACGAGUGUGGUAUCUUCUCCCAGGACACCCUCACCUUCAGCUGUGACGUCAUCAAAUACGCCAUCCUCUCUAACUUCUAGUCCCACAGACUCAGCCAGCACUUUGACAUCCACAGUGACCAGCACUGAUUCUUUCUCACCUUCGACACCUACAUCAUUCACCCCGCAAUCUACUACAGGUUCGAUCCCAAUUCCUACCACUCCAAGUUCUGUCACUAUUUCCACCCUUGCCUGGACAAGUUCUGGGCCUACCACCAGUUCUUUACCAGCUUCAAUCAGUACCAUUUCAGCCCGAACAAGUUUGGAAUCAUCCCCAGCACUAACUCCAUCUUCUGCUGUGACAUUAUCAACCACACUGUCCUCUCCAACUUCUAGUGACAGAGAAUCGGCCAGCACUUUGACGUCAACAGUGACCGGGACUGAUUCUCUCUCACCUUCAACACCUGCAUCACUCACCUUCAAAUCAACUGUAGGUUUGACUCCAAUUCCUACCACCCCAGGUUCUACCACCAUUUCCACCCUAACCCCAUCCAGUUCUGAACCUACCACUGGUUCUUCACCAGCUUCAACCAGUACCGAAUUUACCACCUCAGCCCGAACAGGUUCGGUAUCGGCUCUAUCUUCAGCUGUGACACUGUCAACCACACUGCUCUCUCCAACUUCUAGUGACAGAGAAUCGGCCAGCACUUUGACAUCAACAGUGACUGGGACUGAUUCUCUCUCAACUUCAAUGCCUGCAUCACUCACCACUGAGUUGACUACACAUUUGACCCCAAAUUCUACCCCGCCAAGUUCUGUCACUACUUUCACAGCUACCUGGAUGGGUUCUGGAUAUACCACCAGUUCUCCCACUUCUCCAACCAGUACCGAAUUCCCGACCGGUAGUACCUCAGCCACAGAAAGUACAGUUUCUGUUCCCACUACAAAUUCAUCUUCUGCUGUGACAUCAUCCACCCCUGUCUCUUCUCCAACUUCUAGUCACACAGAAGCGGCCAGCACUCUGACAUCAGCAAUGACCAGGAGUGAUUCUCCCUUGCCGUUGACAACAGAAUUAACCAGCACUGUAGCCACUAGAGUUUCUUCCCCAUUUCCUACCACACUGGUGUCUACCAGUCCUCCCUCCCCGACCUGGGUGAGUUCUGGACCUCCCACCAGUUCCCCACCAGCUUUCACCAGUAUCACAUCUCCUACCUCAACCGGAACAACCAUGGCAUCAGUCCAUAUGUCAACUUUCACCUCAGCUGUCACUGCAUGGACUACACAGUCACCGCCAACUUCUAGUCACACAGAAUCGGGUGACGCUUGGACAUCAACAACGUCCAAUACAGAAUUCACCCGGCCCGAACUGACUACCGGUUCCAUGCCAAGUCUUUCCACCCCAAGUACUACCACUACUUCUUCCUCAGACUGGACGAGUUCUGGGCCUACUACAGGUUCUCCACCGGCUUCGACUGGCCCCCAGCCUCCCACCAGCAUCCCCUCUGCUACAACAAAUACAACGUCGGCCCCUGCCAUAACCUCGCCUUUAGCCAUUACAGCACUGACCACCCGCUGGUCUCCAACCUCAAGUGCUACAGAAUCGGUCGGUAUAUCGACAUCGCCAACGACCUCGUCUUCCACUCCGGCAUUAACCAGCCCUGAAUCGAUCACUGGUUCCACUCCAAAUCUUCCCACCCCAAGUUCUUCCACUACUCCCAUUCCAACAGGGACGAGUUCUCCACCAGUUCCGAGGAGUACCGAAUCUCCCACCAGUACCACCUCAGUCCAAACGAGUACAGAAUCAGCCCUCACCAUACCCUCGCCUUCUGCAGGGACAUCAUCAACCACCCGGUCCUCUUCAACUUCGGGUCACCCGGAACUGACUGGCACUUUCACAUCCAUUCACACCAGUUCCACCUUACCGGCUCUGACCAGUGCUGAAUCUUCCAGCCCUGAAGUGUUUCUCACAACUUCUGCCGCCACCUGGCCCGGUAGAGAAUCAACCGGACGCCCACAGCCUCACCCGUAACCACCACCCCGACGAGCGCUACGGCCCCAUCUGUGGCUCCACCCACCCCUGGGGGAUCAACCCCACAUCCAACUACUACCGAGGUCCUGACGACAACCCCAACUGCCAUCACCACCACGGUUCCUCCUGUCACCACCAAAGUUUCGACCACAAUCAUAACCACCCCCGUGACGACGACUCAAAUGUCCACCAGCUCAGGUAGGGUACCCCCCUCUUCCCCACCUGAGCCUCUUAACCUCCCCCCACCCCUCUCUUCUGGUCUGGGGGCAGUUGUUUUUUUAAUGGAAUUUGUUAAGAAUUUACUAUGUGCCAGUCACUGUUCUCUAUGUUGGGGCAAGUACAAGGUCAUCAGGUUAAGACUGUGAGCCCCAUGUGGGACAGGGACUAUGUCCAGUCGAUUAGCUUGUACUUACCCCAGCGCUUAGAGCAGGGCUUGACGCAGAAUAAGCGCUUAACAAAUACCAUCUUAUCAUCAUCAUUACUAUUAUUCCACUCAACCCACCUUGGACAAUGCUGGGAGUCAAUCGGUCAAUCGUAUUUAUUGAGCAUUUACUGUGUGCACAGCACUGUACUGAACGCUUGGGAGAGUCCAAUACAACAGAGUUGGUAGAUGCCUUCCCUGACCACAGGGAGCUUACAGUCUACAGGGACUAUAACGUUUAAGCAAUCAAUCAGUAGUGUUUAUUGAGCACUUACUGUGUGCAGAGUGUUGUACUGAGCACUGAGGAGGGUCUAGUACAACAGAGUU
rnacentral:lncRNA from 1 species